rnacentral:rRNA from 1 species
UGGGGAAUCUUAGACAAUGGGCGCAAGCCUGAUCUAGCCAUGCCGCGUGAGCGAUGAAGGCCUUAGGGUUGUAAAGCUCUUUCAGGGGGGAAGAUAAUGACGGUACCCCCAGAAGAAGCCCCGGCUAACUUCGUGCCAGCAGCCGCGGUAAUACGAAGGGGGCUAGCGUUGUUCGGAAUUACUGGGCGUAAAGCGCACGUAGGCGGACAUUUAAGUCAGGGGUGAAAUCCCAGAGCUCAACUCUGGAACUGCCUUUGAUACUGGGUGUCUUGAGUAUGGAAGAGGUAAGUGGAAUUCCGAGUGUAGAGGUGAAAUUCGUAGAUAUUCGGAGGAACACCAGUGGCGAAGGCAAUCCCCUGGGCCUGCACUGACGCUCAUGCACGAAAGCGUGGGGAGCAAACAGG